rnacentral:snoRNA from 1 species
AAGACUAUACUUUCAGGGAUCAUUUCUAUAAUUUGUUACUAGAGAAGUUUCUCUGAUCUUGUAGAGAACCAUAAACCAUGAGAAGGAAGCACAGGUUAUUCUCCUGAGUGUAAAGCUGGCUCUUGGUGCUGCUUCACUGCAACUGUGAUUUGUCCCUGAUGAUGUGUCUUCUCUUUCUUGAGGAGAGUAAGAGGGAGAAGACGCAGUGUGAGUGGU